UCCAUUGCUAGCUAUUACAUAAGCAAGACUUCUUUACUCUAUCCGGACUCCCGUACUAUAUCCUGUACCUGUAAGCCUGGGGGAAAAGGGAGAGGGGUGAGCUAAAAGCCCAGUGAGUAGAGCUAGUAAAAACACAUUAACACUAUGCUCAAAUGGAAUGCAUCAUAACACAAACAAUUCACAUAAGGAUUGAGUGAACUCGUCACCAAUUAGUCCAAGUUAACUCUGUGCCAGGCCUGUAGAAUGGGGUCCUGGUCUUUCCUGUCAGAACAUACAUUACUUACCAUGUUCCCAGGGCCUCCUCUGGGCUCCUGGUCUUCGAGUCCCAUAACCGUACCUUACUCUGUGCCAGGCCUGUAGACUGGGGCCUGGACUUGCUUACUCUGUGCCAGGCCUGUAGCAUGGGGCCUGGUCUUCCUGUCUUGGACUAAUUGGGUCAUCCAACAUUCACCCACAACAACAACAAUUUAUGCAAUGCGGCAUAUUCGUGAAACUAAUGCAAUUAUCCUAUUGCAUAAUUAUGAUGCAUGAAACAUGAUAAAACAUUUAGUUUAGAAGAUUAAGUUUAGUUCCACUCACCUCUGGCUGACUCUGACAACACCGCAGCUGAACUCACUGCUGGGGUCCUCGGUUCCUCGGGUCCGAACCUACACAGGUGGACUCAAAUGAGGGACCAAAAAUACCUGAACAUAACUAUAAACUACUCCCCAAAAAAACCCCCUAAAACAUCCUGAAAACAUCACAGAAAAUAUGCAUGAAAUGGCUGAACAGGGCACUUUCGGCGGCACCUUCGGCGGCCGAAAGUCCUGGACAGAGACGAAACUCAGGCAGGUUCGGCGGCACCUUCGGCGGCCGAAAGUCCCAGACAGAGACGAAAGUCUCUUUUCGGGGGCAACUUCGGCAGCCGAAUGGCCUGCCUCCCCAGCCAUGUUCGGCGGCCGAAAGUACCUUCGGCUGCCGAACCUGGUUUCUGCCAAAGGGCAGAAACUUGGC
rnacentral:lncRNA from 1 species